UACGUAGGGUGCGAGCGUUAAUCGGAAUUACUGGGCGUAAAGCGUGCGCAGGCGGCUUUGCAAGACAGAUGUGAAAUCCCCGGGCUCAACCUGGGAACUGCAUUUGUGACUGCAAGGCUAGAGUACGGCAGAGGGGGAUGGAAUUCCGCGUGUACCAGUGAAAUGCGUAGAUAUGCGGAGGAACACCAAUGGCGAAGGCAAUCCCCUGGGCCUGUACUGACGCUCAUGCACGAAAGCGUGGGGAGCAAACAGG
rnacentral:rRNA from 1 species